CUGUGCCUUUAAGCCACACUCUCUGGUUGUUACAGCUGUAAUGUAAGAACUACUGAUUGCUGGGAUAUAUAGCUUUUGUGCACCCAAAGCCUCAGUAGCCUUCCUAAUGUUUGGAAUAAACUCUUUCCUACAAGACUCUGCUGGCUGUUGAGCUUCCUUCAUACGAAGAAUAUUACAUGGUGUCAGAAGUGGGAUACAAACCUCUCCUGUGCUACAACCUGGAAGCUAGCGUCCACCGAAAAAGGAGUGUUUAGACAUGGAGUCAUUUCGUCCUCCUCCUCCCCUUGCUAUGCAAGGUAAUUUGGCUGAGAACUGGAGACGGUGGGAACAGGCCUUUCAGUUGUAUCUUGCUGCAGCGGGACUUGAGAAUGUGUCAAAGAAGCGGCAGAUAGCUAUCCUGCUACAUUGUGUGGGAGAGGAAGGAGUUUCUUUAUAUAAUACAUUUGUUUUUGCCGAGGAGAACCCGAAAGAUAUUGCAGAGGUUCUGGAACAGUUUAGGACUUAUUUUUUUACCUCGGAAGAACAUUGUGUUUGAAAGGUUUUGUUUCUGGAACCAUAUGCAGAGUCCUGGAGUUACAAAUGUGCAAUUUAUUGCUGAGCUAAAACUGAAAGCAGCCAGCUGUGAAUUUGGAAUGGCAGUUAAUGAGAUGAUAAGAGAUAAAGUUGUUUUUAGUUUACAGCAAGAGAAACUGAAACAAAAGUUGUUACAAGAAGCCGAUCUUACACUUGAGAAGGCCGUGGAGAUAUGCCGGGUUGAUGAGACAACGAGAGCUCAGCUGAGAACCAUGGCAAUAACAUCGGAAGAAGGAGUGUUUGAAUUACAAGACAGCCAUGGAGAAAACAAAGAGAUUAUAACUCAAGCUCUGGGAACCAGGGAGUCAAGACACAGAGACAAUUGGAAAAAUCAGAAUAAGUGUGGUUAUUGUGGUACAGCUCAUGAACCUCGGAGAUGUCCAGCAUUUGGAAAGACCUGCAACAAGUGUGGCAAGAAAAAUCAUUAUGCCAGGUUAUGCAGGUCAAGGGUGACCAAUCCUGUGAAUAUACAAGCCAGACAACACAUUCAUGAGUUGAAUGUAUGCAGACUUGCCUCCCCCAACUCUUCAGAGGAUAGGUAUGCUCUGAAGCAUCCAUAAAAAUGAUGAUUUUGCUGAACAGACUCCUCUCCCUUUCUCUUCUGAAUUCAGUACAGGAAGAUUGUGUACUGUGUAAUUCAAGAGCAUUAAAAGGUAGGGAUUCUUCAGGUUUAAACCUCCCAAUGUGUGCUCAGGGCUGCUAACUCAAUAAUGCAUUUUCAGAUCAUUUUGCUCUGAGGUGUAAAUCCAACCUCAUUUUACCUAAUGUGUGUAUGUUCUUCCCUUUCAGUGUUUCAUAAAUCUUAAAUCUGUGAUUCUAACUGCCUGGAAAUGAUGCAGUGCAACAUUGUCAGCUAAAGGAUAUUACUGGAUGGGUUCACAUCUGUGGGCUGAUUUAAGGUCCUCAGGACUGCUGGAAGGAACCUGACUACUAGCUCUAACUAAUUGGAGUUAUCAUCAUUGCUCUUUGCUGUGUUUGUAUGGCCACAUGCUGCAUUGACUUUGUGAAGCUGGUUUUAGCUUUAAUAUUCUCUUCCAGACCCUCUGCCUUUGGAACUGGUGCAUCUGCAACAAACCACAUGGGAUAAUGUUGAACCUCACUAUGAUCCAAAUACAGACACUCUCUCCCUUCUUCCCUCCCCCCUCACUCCCCCACCCUCACACACAUUCUCCCUUCCCUCAUCCCCCUCCCCAGUGAACGGAGAAUUUUCUAUAGGCCAUGGUGAAUGAACCAGCCUGCAAACUUUCCUAUUCUGUAAACCAAAAAAGGUGGGGAUGUGCUUCUAUUCUUUACUUGUGGGCUGGCAUAGGUUGCCUCUAAUAUAUUGUUUUCUUUAGAGACCUUUCAGUCUUCUUGCAACUUUGAAGCUUCUGUUUUGUUGUGUUUAGUGUUCCAUUUUUCAGUUUUCUCUUAUCCCCCUUCAAGCUCUGUAUAUCAUUAAUCCAUGACCAUUGGAAAUGGCUUUUGGAAGGACCAGGUUAUACACCAGGAGGUGGGGAUUAGCAGGAGUGCAUCACUAUGGCUGAUAAGACUAAUGAGAAAAAACACUUUGUAUUGUGCAUUUCUGUAGCAAAAAUACCUCAAGCAGUUUGGCCUUUGGCUGGUUGAUUGUGAUCUAUGCUCUCACAAUACAGACUCAGAGCUCCUAUGUCUCUUUGCUGGUGAUGCAUUUAUCAGUCAGAACUCAACAGGUACAUAAUAAAAGCUUGCAGGCAAAGACAAUCCAUAGGCAGCUGAUUUCUCUCCUAGAUAUGAAUGCGGGCUUACUUUUAUUUUAACUGGAAACCUUGAGUGCUCUAGGGACAAUAUCAAGACACCACACAGAAGGCUGGGUGGUAGAUGUGUGAAACUAAUGACACACUUUCACACCACAGAGAAUUUCUCUAAGAGUUUUGAGUUUAGAGUUCUAUAUUAAAACAGUCUCGCUAAAACGAGUUUAGGCUGUUAUGGGAAAUGUUGGAAUAGCAGCAAUGAAUGGGCAGUGACAUACUGUUUAACUUUAUUCAUUACAUAUUUGUAGGCAUUCUGGUCCAAACAUAUUGGCAACAAUUCAGGCAUUACAGCCAAGAGAGCCUUUUUGUGUACGGAGACACAAUGUACUGUUUCCAACAGUGGGACACAAAGAAGCACGCUGAAAAGAUCUUCAAGGUUAUGUAAAUACACAUAGCAAGAGAUGCUCCCUCAAUUAUCAAGGACCCAUAUUCUGUUUAGUACUUUCAGAGUUGACAUCAACACAUUGAAAAUACACCAGUGAAGUAUAGACAGUCAUUGCAGUCUUUUAAUAGGGUUUCAAUAUGAUGUUCCUGACAGCAGUAUGUUUGAGAGAUUUUGUACUACUUGCAGCUUUCAUGUCAUCCUCAAGGACAGCCCUGUUUACAGUGUGGAAACAGUACCUGCCACUUGUUCUAUUCUAGAACUGGGUAUAAUUCUAGCACUCCUCAAGAUUUUGUUUAUUCUAAACACUAACACACAUUACUGCUAUAAAAUAAGCUUUGUUGAUGCAACUAAUAGUAUACUAGUAUAUUAGCAGUUUUAACUGUUUUCAAACUGUUUUAAGUUAUAUGUUUCAUCUGUUUUAUUGCUUAAUGCGUUGUAUUUGUUCAUUUGUAUUUGUAAUGUGGCAUUGAAUUUUGCCUAACUGUAAGCCUCUCUGAGUCCCCUUCGAGGUGAGAUAGAAUGGGGUAGAAAUAUAGUAAAUAAAUAAAUAAUAAUAAUAUACAACAGAGACACAAUCCAGCCCUUAAGAUGAUGAGAUCCACCAUCCCCUCACAGUCAAUCGUAAAAAUCUGAAAAUAAUAAAUUUUAGCCAGACUACCCUUGGCCAACAAUCCAGUAUCCGUGAUGGAUAGGUGGCCAGGUGAAUCUCCUUUUAAGAUGAGGUUGAUGGAAGAUGGAUUCUCAAAGGUUUCAUAGAGCAAACAGGAACAAAGAAGUUGAUGUAUGAAAUACAAAUCCCCUAUUUGCUUCCAUAAAUUUAAGAAUUGUAUAAGCAGUUUACUAAAAGAGAAAAUUAACUCCCUUAUAUGUUCAUGUCUUUUCCAAGCCACAAAGUAAUAAACUAAAGAUAUAGAUAUAGAUCCCAGGUUCAAAUCCCGGGAGCAGAAUGAGCGCCCGCUGUUAGCCCCAGCUCCUGCC
rnacentral:tRNA from 11 species